CAGGAUUCCCGCAGUAAUGGCGAAUGAACUGGGAUUGGCUCAACUUGGAAACCAAGGCCUUUGGUCAUGAAUUGUAAUCUCUAGAUGCGUUGCCAAUGAAGACACAAGUGUGAGCCUCUUGGAAAAGAGCGCCAAGGAGGGUGAGAGUCCCGUUGUCUAUCAGACGCCCUUUAUGAACGGCACAUCUUCCAAGAGUCACGUUCCUCGGAACUGGAGCGCCAAAGGGGUGGCAAAUGUCAUCUGAAGCUUAACAUAGUCUUGAGACCGAUAGGGCACAAGUACCGUGAGGGAAAGGUGAAAAGGACUUUGAAAAGAGAGUUAAAAGUGUUUGAAAUUGCUGGAGGUGAAGUGAAUGGAGCCAGUAGCUUUGGGGGGAUUGUUUUAUGCUUGUUAAGGGGCCUGCCACCUUAGCGCAAGCAUGGUGAUGAGUCCUGCACUGCUUGCAUGAAAUGCAUCUUUCCUUGGGUGCAAAAGUCAUUUCGAAGCUGAGACCGCCCCCAGCAGUGUGCAAUUUUGGUAUCUGCUGGAUGAAUGCUGUUGGGCAAGCUCAUCUUUGAACUGAUCAAUUGUGCAUCUGGUUGCAAUGAAGCUUGUGUCCUUCAGCUGGCAGUACCAUACGUCUACGGCCGCAUGAUCCACUGCCUGGGGCGCAUCCCAGACGCAAUUUAUGUUGCAAGGGCUUCUUUCGACGUGUCUUGAAACACGGAACAAGGAGUUUGAUGCAUCUGCAAGUUCACGGUUGGAUACACCUGUGUGCGCAAUGAAACUAACAGCUGGGAAAUGUGCAAGCCAGCAACUGCUGUGCCAAAUACUGCAGAUUUGGAUAUGAGCAGAUUCCUCAGGACCCGAAACGUGGAGAACUAUGCUUGAGGAGGGUAAAUUCAGGGGAAACUCUGAUUGAGGCUCGUAGCGGUACUGUCGUGCAAAUCGUUCGUCGCGCUUGCGUAUAGGAGCGAAAGACUAAUCGCAGCAUCUAGUAACCUGUUCCCUCCUAAAUUUCCCCGGAAUAAAUGGACCUGCGCAGUUUUGUCAAGUAUAGCGAAUGAUUACAGGAAUCGGAGACCUGUUGUUUUCGACCUUGUCUCAAACUUCCAAUGUGCAACAUGUCGUUGCUCCUAAAUUGAACUUCUGGGGCAUCUAAAAUAUUUAAAUGUGCCUGUUUUUGGCCAGCAGAACUGGCGAUGAGAAAUUAACCUAACGUUGGGGAAGUGUGCUCAACUGCUCGCUCAUCAGAUACCAUGAAGGGCGUUGGUUUAUUUUAACAGCAGGACGGUGGUCAUGGAAAUCGAAAACCGUUAAGGAUUGUGUAACAACUCACCUGCCGAAUA
rnacentral:rRNA from 1 species